rnacentral:rRNA from 1 species
GAAUUCGCCCUUAGAGUUUGAUCCUGGCUCAGGAUGAACGCUGGCGGCGUGCUUAACACAUGCAAGUCGAGCGAAGCGCCUAAGACAGAUUCUUCGGAUGAUGACUUAAGUGACUGAGCGGCGGACGGGUGAGUAACGCGUGGGUAACCUGCCUCAUACAGGGGGAUAACAGUUAGAAAUGACUGCUAAUACCGCAUAAGACCACAGCACCGCAUGGUGCAGGGGUAAAAACUCCAGUGGUAUGAGAUGGACCCGCGUCUGAUUAGGUAGUUGGUGAGGUAACGGCUCACCAAGCCGACGAUCAGUAGCCGGACUGAGAGGUUGACCGGCCACAUUGGGACUGAGAUACGGCCCAGACUCCUACGGGAGGCAGCAGUGGGGAAUAUUGGGCAAUGGGCGCAAGCCUGACCCAGCAACGCCGCGUGAAGGAAGAAGGCUUUCGGGUUGUAAACUUCUUUUCUUUGUGAAGAAACAAAUGACGGUAGCAAAGGAAUAAGCAUCGGCUAACUACGUGCCAGCAGCCGCGGUAAUACGUAGGAUGCAAGCGUUAUCCGGAUUUACUGGGUGUAAAGGGAGCGCAGGCGGGACUUCAAGUUGGAUGUGAAAUGUCAAGGCUUAACCAUGGCACUGCAUCCAAAACUGUAGUUCUUGAGUGGAGUAGAGGUAAGCGGAAUUCCGAGUGUAGCGGUGAAAUGCGUAGAUAUUCGGAGGAACACCAGUGGCGAAGGCGGCUUACUGGGCUCUAACUGACGCUGAGGCUCGAAAGUGUGGGGAGCAAACAGGAUUAGAUACCCUGGUAGUCCACGCCGUAAACGAUGGAUACUAGGUGUGGGAGGUACUGACCCCUUCCGUGCCGGAGUAAACACAAUAAGUAUCCCACCUGGGGAGUACGGCCGCAAGGUUGAAACUCAAAGGAAUUGACGGGGGCCCGCACAAGCAGUGGAGUAUGUGGUUUAAUUCGAAGCAACGCGAAGAACCUUACCAGGUCUUGACAUCGAGUGACGAGCUAAGAGAUUAGCUUUCCUUUCGAGGCACGAAGACAGGUGGUGCAUGGUUGUCGUCAGCUCGUGUCGUGAGAUGUUGGGUUAAGUCCCGCAACGAGCGCAACCCUUACCAUUAGUUGCUACGCAAGAGCACUCUAAUGGGACUGCCGUUGACAAAACGGAGGAAGGUGGGGAUGACGUCAAAUCAUCAUGCCCCUUAUGACCUGGGCUACACACGUACUACAAUGGCAAUUAACAAAGAGCAGCAAAGCCGCGAGGUGGAGCGAAUCUCCAAAAAUUGUCCCAGUUCAGAUUGCAGGCUGCAACUCGCCUGCAUGAAGUCGGAAUUGCUAGUAAUCGUAGAUCAGCAUGCUACGGUGAAUACGUUCCCGGGCCUUGCACUCACCGCCCGUCA